GAUGAACGCUGGCGGCGUGCCUAAUACAUGCAAGUCGAGCGAACAGACGAGGAGCUUGCUCCUUUGACGUUAGCGGCGGACGGGUGAGUAACACGUAGGUAACCUACCUAUAAGACUGGGAUAACUUCGGGAAACCGGAGCUAAUACCGGAUAAUAUUUCGAACCGCAUGGUUCGAUAGUGAAAGAUGGCUUUGCUAUCACUUAUAGAUGGACCUGCGCCGGAUUAGCUAGUUGGUAAGGUAACGGCUUACCAAGGCAACGAUACGUAGCCGACCUGAGAGGGUGAUCGGCCACACUGGAACUGAGACACGGUCCAGACUCCGACGGGAGGCAGCAGUAGGGAAUCUUCCGCAAUGGGCGAAAGCCUGACGGAGCAACGCCGCGUGAGUGAUGAAGGUCUUCGGAUCGUAAAACUCUGUUAUUAGGGAAGAACAAACGUGUAAGUAACUGUGCACGUCUUGACGGUACCUAAUCAGAAAGCCACGGCUAACUACGUGCCAGCAGCCGCAGUAA
rnacentral:rRNA from 1 species